AUUUCGGGACUAGAGAUGAAAAUAAAAUGUUUAAAAAAUUGAAAGUUAUGCUGUUGAUCGUUAUAUAGUAGCGUUAUACCUUGAUGACAAUUUAUCAUGAGGAUGAUGCAGACUCGCGUGUGUGAGUCUUGUCUUUCUUUAUUUUAUCCGACGUCAUUAUUUUAGAAUAAUCUGAAACCGAUGGUGAUUAGUUGACGUUAAAGCGUCACCUGUGCCCUAAACACCCACGUAGACCACGUAGACCACGGAGCCCACGGAGGCCACGGAGGCCAUUCAAGCUAUUUAGAACAUUUAUACCAAGAGAUGGAUAGAGCAAUGGAGAGUGACCCCGAAAAUCUGUCACUCAGUCACGAAGUUGUAUUUUUUAUUUUUUUUUUUUAUUUAGUGAAUUGAGAUCGACGAUCGAUCAUCUGUUGUGCCCCAACCCACUAAACUCUCAAAUUGACACUCUAUACGUCAAUUCAUUUUCAAUUUGCCCGUAAUAUAAUUUGUUAUUCCGAUAUUAUUAUUUUUAUGUAUAUAUGUAUACAUAUUUAACGAUUUAACGGGCUUACUGUGACCGCACACGUCGAUUCACCGAUCAACCGAUCAACCCAUCAACCCAUCAACCCAUUACAAUAAAUAUAUAUAAAUAAGCUUAAAAAAUCAAAGGCUAAACAAAAAAUAAAUCUCUCUUGUUAAAGAAUCCAUUGAAAAUUUUUGGAGACGUUUUAAACUAAGACAACUUAAGUCUCUUUUCUUUCUUUUUGGUCUUGUUUUUUUUUCUAGAGUUUAUCCGUGUCAAAAUAAAUCUUUCGACAUCCAGUACCGUAAGAGAUCACGGUUAUUGUUUGUCUUUUCAUGUGCAUACACUAGACUCUAUAUACUGUGUAAAGUUUGUCUCUCAUCCUUCGGGUUAUACUUAAUAAGGAAAGAGUGAGAAAGAUAUAUAAUAUAAAAGGUGAUUUGUUUAGUUUUGCCAACUAAAUACUUUACGUGGAGGAGUAUUGAGUGAGGACCAAUACAUAGUUUUUUUUAUUCUUAUUUUAUUUAAAAACAUCCACAAAUAACUUUCGGAGGAGUUUCUGAGAGAAAAAAAAAAAAAGAAAAAAAGAAAAAAAGAAAAAAAAAGUCUGGCGGUAUGGUAAAUGUGAAUACUAAUGUAUAAUCGAAUAUCGAAAUAAUCGAAAAUGGCAACAGACCAACAGAGGCCAACUAUAAACAACCAUCACUGAUCGCGGGAACUUUGUGUGUAGUAGAGACAAACCCUGGUGAACAGAUAUAUACUAUAUACUAUUUCAUUGAGCGCGGCAAAACCGAUGAGAUCGGAGAGUCGGAGAGUCUGAGAGUUGAGAAAUUCCCGAUACAAGGAAUUUGGGAGUUUGUCUUUUAUGUCGUUGAAUUUGGAUUCAAAGUCGGAGUCAGAGUCCGACUCGCAGUACCGGCAAGAUACUAACGCACUGGUAUCGCGUAUCACGUGUAUAUAUCGUUUCGACAAAAAGGUCCACUAGCAGUGUGCAUAAAAAAAAUAAAAAAAAAGGAAUGUGAGUCGCCAACCGAUCGAGGAUCCAGCUGCUGAUGGUUAAAUAACUUAAGCAAUAAGCAACAUCUAAACGAUCACCGGAUGUGUUAAAGUUAAUAUAAUAAUAUUAAUAACAA